rnacentral:rRNA from 1 species
ACCCGCUGAACUUAAGCAUAUCAAUAAGCGGAGGAAAAGAAACUAACAAGGAUUCCCCUAGUAACUGCGAGUGAAGAGGGAAAAGCUCAAAUUUAAAAUCUGGCAGUCUCCGAUUGUCCGAGUUGUAAUUUAGAGAAGUGUUACCCGUGUUGGACCGUGUACAAGUUUCCUGGAAUGGAACGUCAUAGAGGGUGAGAAUCCCGUCUUUGACACGGAUCCCAAUGCAUUGUGGUAUGCUCUCGAAGAGUCGAGUUGUUUGGGAAUGCAGCUCUAAAUGGGUGGUAAAUUCCAUCUAAAGCUAAAUAUUGGGGAGAGACCGAUAGCGAACAAGUACCGUGAGGGAAAGAUGAAAAGAACUUUGGAAAGAGAGUUAAACAGUACGUGAAAUUGCUAAAAGGGAAACGCUUGAAGUCAGUCGCGUUGGCCAGGGAUCAGCCUUCCUUUUGGUUGGUGUACUUCCUGGUUGAUGGGUCAACAUCAGUUUUGACCGGUGGAUAAGAGUGGGAGGAAUGUGGCAUCUUCGGGUGUGUUAUAGCCUCUUAUUGUAUACAUCGGUUGGGACUGAGGAACUCAGCACGCCGCAAGGCCGGGUUUUUAACCACGUUCGUGCUUAGGAUGUUGGCAUAAUGGCUUUAAUCGACCCGUCUUGAAACACGGACCAAGGAGUCUAACAUGCCUGCGAGUGUUUGGGUGGAAUGAAUUC